ACCCGGCUGGCGCAAUGGUAGCGCGUCAGACUUCUACGCGGAGAUAAUCUGAAGGUUGUGGGUUCGACCCCCACGUUGGGUU